AGGACGAACGCUGGCGGCGCGCCUAAUACAUGCAAGUCGAGCGAGAAAUCCGGGGCUUGCCCCGGGUGGACAGCGGCGAACGGGUGAGGAACACGUGAGAAACCUGCCCCGAAGACCGGGAUAACACCGGGAAACCGGUGCUAAUACCGGAUGCCCUCACCGGACCGCAUGAUCCGGUGAGGAAAUGGAUUCCGCUUCGGGAUGGUCUCGCGGCCUAUCAGCUUGUUGGUGGGGUAAUGGCCUACCAAGGCUUCGACGGGUA
rnacentral:rRNA from 1 species